rnacentral:rRNA from 1 species
UCUAGAGAUUACUCCUACGGGAGGCAGCAGUGGGGAAUAUUGGACAAUGGGUCGACGAUUAAUCUCUAGAGCGAAAGCCUGAUCCAGCCAUGCCGUGUGUGUGAAGAAGGCCUUCGGGUUGUAAAGCACUUUCAGCGAGGAGGAAAGGUCAGUAGCUAUAUCUACUGGCUGUGACGUUACUCGCAGAAGAAGCACCGGCUAACUCCGUGCCAGCAGCCGCGGUAAUAAUCGUCGAC